UACGUAGGCAGCAAGCGUUGUUCGGAGUUACUUGGGACGGUAAAGGGUGUGUAGGCGGUUGCUUAAGUUUGGUGGUGAAAUCUCCCCGGCUCAACUGGGAGGGUGCGCCGAAUACUGAGUGACUAGAGUGCGGGAGAGGAAAGUGGAAUUCCUGGUGUAGCGGUGAAAUGCGUAGAUAUCAGGAGGAACAUCGGUGGUGUAGACGGCUUUCUGGACCGUAACUGACGCUGAGACACGAAAGCGUGGGUAGCAAACAAGGA
rnacentral:rRNA from 1 species